rnacentral:rRNA from 1 species
AUUGAACGCUGGCGGCAUGCCUUACACAUGCAAGUCGAACGGCAGCACGGGAGCAAUCCUGGUGGCGAGUGGCGAACGGGUGAGUAAAGUAUCGGAACGUGCCCAGUCGUGGGGGAUAACGUAGCGAAAGUUACGCUAAUACCGCAUACGAUCUAUGGAUGAAAGCGGGGGAUCGCAAGACCUCGCGCGAUUGGAGCGGCCGAUAUCAGAUUAGGUAGUUGGUGGGGUAAAGGCUCACCAAGCCGACGAUCUGUAGCUGGUCUGAGGGGACGACCAGCCACACUGGGACUGAGACACGGCCCAGACGCCUACGGGAGGCGGCAGUGGGGAAUUUUGGACAAUGGGCGAAAGCCUGAUCCAGCCAUGCCGCGUGCAGGAUGAAGGCCUUCGGGUUGUAGACUGCUUUUGUACGGAACGAAAAGGUUUGGCCUAAUAAGCUGAGCUCAUGACGGUACCGUAAGAAUAAGCACCGGCUAACUACGUGCCAGCCGCCGCUGUAA